UACGACUACAUAUCAGGCAUAUCAAUAAGCGGAGGAAAAGAAACUAACAAGGAUUCCCUUAGUAACGGCGAGUGAAGCGGGAAGAGCUCAAAUUUGAAAUCUUCAAGGUUUUACCUUGACGAAUCGUAGUUUAAAGAAGUGUUUUCUGUUGAAGUUUUGGUAAAAGUUCUUUGGAAUAGGACAUCAUAGAGGGUGAGAAUCCCGUAUUUGACCAUUAUUUUCAGCUGUGUGAUACACUUUCAAAGAGUCGGAUUGUUUGGGAAUGCAGUCCAAAAUGGGUGGUAAAUUUCAUCUAAAGCUAAAUAUUGGCGAGAGACCGAUAGCGAACAAGUACCGUGAGGGAAAGAUGAAAAGAACUUUGAAAAGAGAGUUAAACAGUACGUGAAAUUGUCAAAAGGGAAGCGUUUGACACCAGUGUUGUUUUCUCGAAAAUCAAUUAAAAAAAGUUGGAUUUUGUGUUGUAUUGACCUUAACAGCUUGCUUCACUCUUUUCCAGCUUUUUUUAAUGCACUUUUCGUUUAACAAGUCAACAUCAGUUUCUUUUGUUGUAAAAGGGUCAUUGGAAGGUGGCUUUCUCUUCGGAGAAAGUGUUUAUAGCCUUUGAUCUCUGCAAUCGGAGAGACUGAGGUCUGCAGCGUAGAUCCUUCGGGGUUAGAUACAUUUGUGCUAAAGCUACAGCUUUUCAUAGACAACUUGUUGACUAUGUUUAGUCUUGUAACUUACCCGCUUAUGCUAUUUUACCUACGCUUAGGAUGUUGAGCGCAUGUCUCUCUCU
rnacentral:rRNA from 1 species